GAUGAACGCUAGCGGCAGGCUUAAUACAUGCAAGUCGAGGGACAGCACAGGUAGCAAUACUGGGUGGUAACCGGCAAACGGGUGCGGAACACGUACACAACCUUCCUUUAAGUGGGGGAUAGCCCAGAGAAAUUUGGAUUAAUACCCCGUAAUAUAGUUGAAUGGCAUCAUUUGAUUAUUAUAGCUACGGCGCUUAAUGAUGGGUGUGCGGCUGAUUAGAUAGUUGGCGGGGUAACGGCCCACCAAGUCUACGAUCAGUAGCUGAUGUGAGCGCAUGAUCAGCCACACGGGCACUGAGACACGGGCCCGACUCCUACUGGAGGCAGCAGUAAGGAAUAUUGGUCAAUGGACGCAAGUCUGAACCAGCCAUGCCGCGUGAAGGAUUAAGGUCCUCUGGAUUGUAAACUUCUUUUAUUUGGGACGAAAAAGGGCCUUUCUAGGUCAACUGACGGUACCAGAUGAAUAAGCACCGGCUAACUCCGUGCCAGCAGCCGCGGUAAGAC
rnacentral:rRNA from 1 species